UAGAGGAAGUAAAAGUCGUAACAAGGUUUCCGUAGGUGAACCUGCGGAAGGAUCAUUAACGAGUUUUGAAGUGGGUUUGAUGCUGGCCUUCCCAGGCAUGUGCUCGCCCUGCUCUCAUCCACUCACACCUGUGCACCUAUAAAUGUCAGAAGAUUCAUCCCCUAGGCUCUUAGGGGUGUAGUUUUGAGGUAACUUGAACUAUUGGGUUGAGUCUUUUGCGUUUACUUUUCACAAACUCUUGAAUGUAAUAGAAUGUCCAUGGCCUACGGGCUUUAUAAAUGAAAUACAACUUUCAACAACGGAUCUCUUGGCUCUCGCAUCGAUGAAGAACGCAGCGAAAUGCGAUAAGUAAUGUGAAUUGCAGAAUUCAGUGAAUCAUCGAAUCUUUGAACGCACCUUGCGCUCCUGGGCUAUUCCUAGGAGCAUGCCUGUUUGAGUGUCUUGAAAUCAUCAACCCCAGUUGGAUUUGAAAUUUGACUGGUGGCUGGACUUGGGGGUUUGCUGGCCGUUUUGAUUCGGUCUGGCUCCCCUUGAAUGUAUUAGCUUGGACUUGUUCCUAAGGCUUCAUGGCGUGAUAAUUAUCUACGCUUUGUACUGUCUGUGGAAUAUUUAUGAGUCUAGCUUCUAACUGUCCUCUGGACAAUCUUUCAAUCUUUGACCUCAAAUCAGGUAGGACUACCCGCUGAACUUAAGCAUAUCA
rnacentral:rRNA from 1 species